rnacentral:rRNA from 1 species
GAUGAACGCUGGCGGUAUGCUUAACACAUGCAAGUCGAACGGACUCUUCGGAGUUAGUGGCGGACGGGUGAGUAACGCGUGAGAAUCUGGCUUUGGGUUCGGGACAACCACUGGAAACGGUGGCUAAUACCGGAUGUGCCGAGAGGUAAAAGAGAAAUUGCCUGAAGAUGAGCUCGCGUCUGAUUAGCUAGUUGGUGAGGUAAAGGCUCACCAAGGCAGCGAUCAGUAGCUGGUCUGAGAGGAUGACCAGCCACACUGGGACUGAGACACGGCCCAGACUCCUACGGGAGGCAGCAGUGGGGAAUUUUCCGCAAUGGGCGAAGGCCUGACGGAGCAAUACCGCGUGAGGGAAGAAGGCUCUUGGGGUGUAAACCUCUUUUCUUAGGGAAGAACAAAAUGACGCUACCUAAGGAAUCAGCAUCGGCUAACUCCGUG